rnacentral:rRNA from 1 species
UACAGAGGUCUCAAGCGUUGUUCGGAUUCAUUGGGCGUAAAGGGUGCGUAGGCGGCGCGGUAAGUCGGGUGUGAAAUCUUGGAGCUUAACUCCGAAACUGCAUUCGAUACUGCCGUGCUUGAGGACUGGAGAGGAGACUGGAAUUUACAGUGUAGCGGUGAAAUGCGUAGAUAUCGUAAGGAAGACCAGUGGCGAAGGCGGGUCUCUGGACAGUUCCUGACGCUGAGGCACGAAGGCCAGGGGAGCAAACGGG